GAAACAAUGGAGAGGAGCAUCGAGUGGUCACGGGGCAGGCUAAUUAACGUCCAUACAGAUCUUUUACUUCAGGACCUUCGGGAAUAUAUAGAUGAAGUCCGGAGAUCUUGGCCUACCACAACCGCACAACAAGGUCAUUCUGGCUACCACGCCCCACUCGUUCUGUUGGGUGGCCGAGGUCCCCCACAAUACAGCAUUUCGAGGGAGCAACUCUCUUUUUUGAGGAGCUGUGGUUUUACAGCUACAAAGAUGGCGCAGAUAUUAAAAGUAUCUCUGCGCACAGUGAGACGGCGUUUGAGGCAGUUCCACAGGCCUGCACCUUGUCGUGACCACUGUGUCAAGUGUCCCAUUUGGGUUGCCGUAUGUAGCAGACCAUCUCGCACAUGCGCAGUACAGAUCGGGCAGGGGGUGCAGAUCAUGUGGGCAGAUCGGUAGUGACCAUGGUAGUGACAGAGGUAAUCGUCGUAACCAGCAGUCUUCAUCCGCCUCUAUCCAGUCUUUGACACUUGGAAAACGAGCACAUGUGAUACUGGCAGGGGCGGACUGGCCAUCGGGACGUUCGGGACGAAUCCCGAUGGGCCGGUAGCCCGGUACCGAAGUGGGCCGGUCGGACCAAUCGACGCGGCCCACUGCCCCACUCCGAUCGGCCCACUUCGGUACAGAGCGCCAUGGCUGAUAUUGAACCACCUGUUCGAUUGCUGAUCAUCUUGAACGACCACAACAGCGUCAGACUGGAGCUUCGAAAUGGGAUUCCCAACUCAAUGGAAGAGCUCAUUGAGGAGGUCAAGAAUUCAUGUGGAUUGGAAGAUUACAUAAGGCUACAGUAUAAAGACACUGAUUUUUGGAACACAUUUGUUAAUCUUACAUCUACACAUGCGAUUAAAGAUUUAACAGUUAUCAAAGUUGUCGAAUUAGACCCCGAUUUUACAACUGUGGUCUUGUACCCAGUUGAGAUACCAUUAAAUAGUACCCCUACAAGUGGACUGUACAGUGAAGACUCCUCUGGAUCUGUGAAUACAGAUGACACAGUACUACUUAGCGGCUCUUCCUCAGAAUCAUUAAGAACACAGCAGUGGCCAAAAGUGUUUCCAAUCCCGGUCUUCUCCUAUGACACAGAAUGUCAAUUACAGAGAGGAAAUGCAGAGUACACAAAGAACCAAUCUAGACUGACACCAAGCGCAAAUCAUCUGCAGAGCUUGCUGUGAACUCGUUGAAGACCAAGUCUCAAGAAGAGUCCUACCCUGCGAAGAAUUUUAAAGAGAGCCAGGCGAGCUGAUGCCAACCAUUUUCCAUCCUUGCCGAUUGGUGAGACUCCAGAAAGCAUGGAGCAAGAGACAAUUUCCCUUUUGGCAGAACAACAGAAAAGAAACAACCGGCAAUCAAUAAAAGAAAAGAUGGCGAAGGCGUUUGGAUACUGAAGACAAGAAAUAGUGCAUCGGAGGCCAAGCAUUGAAGGCCUCUUGGAGCGGUGGCCUGCACUUUUUCACAUGGAAGAGGUAAAUGCUGAGUUAAUGCGCAUAACAACAAUUCCAUUGGAGACAAAGUUCUUGGCGCAGUUGGACAAACACUCAGGUCAUCAGGAGCAGGGGAGGAGUUGUGAAACAGAAGACCACCGGGAUCUUGCAGGUUUUGGAUGAGACUGUGGACAUCGCCAUCAGAAGAGAAUGCAUCCUCAAAUCUCUAAUGAUCUACCUGGGUGAACCUGUUGACCAUCUCAUCAAAGAAUUCCAGGACGCUGAGGCUGGAGAACUGGAGCAGGCAACAAUGGAAGCCUUUGACACUGGGAAAGAGGAUCAGCUUCAUCGACCCAAAGACGUCAAGGUUCUCAUCGAAGGAACAGAGGUCCUCAGCGGCUUGCCCUCGGUUGCGACAGCUUUUGCCAUGCUCUUCGGGCUCAUAUACGCACUGAAAUGGGGCGAAGCCUGCGAGCUAGUUCAGGCAGUCAACUCGAGCACUUAUGCUGCAUUCAUACAUAACGCCCCCUUGCCACUCUACAACCAACCAAACAGAGUCUCCUUAAUAUGCCGCUCUAUUUAACCUGCCAGAUCUCUCUCCAUGCAUUGCUUGCUGCUGCUAUUGCUGCAGAUACCUCUACGUCGCUGCUGCUCGCUGCCCCACCACCACCCCAGCUUCCACCUGUAGGCUCGGGGGUUAGUUAUUUGAUCAUCACUCAUCGUGCUAUGUAUAUCUAUGGAGUGAUGAUGCCCGAGCCUAGUCGCCAAACUCAACUAUAUGCUGCUUCUAAUAAACAUGUUAAAGGAACACGUGAGUUGUCUGACUGAACUUAAGAUAUCAGAAAUAACUGCAAUCCACUUUUGAAGUUGUGCAAAAAGUCCUGAUGGAGGGGAAAAAGAUGAGCCCAAAAGUGAAUAGACUGAGAACCCAGCUGGUAGACACUUUGUUGCACUCACUCACAGUUACCAUUGUUACAUGGUAAGGUUUCUAAAACCAAGGUUUUAUAAUAAUUAUGCAUUGUAAAACAUUUGCGAAAAAGUGUUGUGUUCAGAAGUUGCACUUACAGUAUGACCGAUUUUCACUGUAGAAGUUAUGCAUGUCUAAUCAUUUUCAGAGAUUACAUGUCUCACAGGCGCACGUUAUCAGUGUUGCUUUAAAAAAGUGUGCAGUGGAUAAUAAGGACAUGUCUUUUUUCUAAGAGUUUGAUGUUUGGAAGCGGUCCACAUAUUACCGCAUUUUAACCGUGGUACUUAUUAACAUGUCUAAGAUCAGGUAAUGGCUGCCUCAGAGGCCAAAGCUGGUUGUGUGAACAACUUGUUUUUCAUUCAAAUAAAUGUGCUCUGGUGUUAAAAUAUACAGAUUGAUCUGAAGAAAUUGAGUCAAUGUAAAAUAUUUCGUGUGAUUGAUUACUCUAAUAUUUUUUUGUUGGUACAACGUUUUACUUUUAUUAGUGUACCUUUCAGUUGCAUUGCACUCCUUAAACGUGUUUGAGACACUUUAGAUAACAAUGUGGCU